rnacentral:rRNA from 1 species
GGCCUACACAUGCAAGNNNNGGGGUAACAGGAGCAGCUUGCUGCUUGCUGACGACCGGCGCACGGGUGCGUAACGCGUAUGCAACCUGCCUCAUACAUUGGGAUAGCCCGGAGAAAUCCGGAUUAAUACCAAAUAAUAAUUACAUAUCGCAUGGUAUGUAAUUUAAAGCUUCGGUGGUAUGAGAUGGGCAUGCGUGACAUUAGGUAGUUGGUGGGGUAACGGCCCACCAAGCCCACGAUGUCUAGGGGUUCUGAGAGGAAGGUCCCCCACACUGGUACUGAGACACGGACCAGACUCCUACGGGAGGCAGCAGUGAGGAAUAUUGGGCAAUAGGCGAAAGCCUGACCCAGCCAUGUCGCGUGCAGGAAGACGGUUCUACGAAUUGUAAACUGCUUUUCUAUGGGGAGAAACACAGGGACGUGUCCCUGUCUGCCUGUACCAUAGGAAUAAGCAUCGGCUAACUCCGUGCCAGCAGCCGCGGUAAUACGGAGGAUGCGAGCGUUAUCCGGAUUCAUUGGGUUUAAAGGGUGCGUAGGCGGAAUUGGUAAGUCAGGGGUG